rnacentral:lncRNA from 1 species
GUCUAAAACAAAUUAGAACAAAAUGCAAGCCAAUGCACGAACUUUGGCAGUUUGAUUUGCAUAUUGAACUCAAUCGAUCAGCAACCUAUAAAACACAAGAAAAGAAGAAAUGAAUAAGUUUAUAGAUCGAGAUACAUAAUAUCUCAAGCCAUUUUAUGAUAGAGAUGUCGUCUAAGAGAGAUUAAUUCUGUCAAUACUUUAAGAAUCAUCCAAAAUUUAAUUCCUCGUACAUUGUCAUGGUCAUGGUUGGUAGUACUAAUGAAUUUCACCNGGAGGAUCAGCCAUGGCUUCGGCUUUUUGAGGUGGCGGAGGGAGGAGGCCACGGCGGAGCACCACGACUUGGAAACACUAGAGGCCGGAACAUUGUCAUGGUCAUGGUUGGUAGUACUAAUGAAUUUCACCUACUCAACGGUUGCAAUUUAGAUCUAGUAGUACUAUGUACUCUAGUGAAUUUAACAUAUUAGGCAUUUUGAAGAAACAAUAAUUAAAUAAUAUUUUUAUGUUGUAUUAUGAUGAUAGAUAAAUAUUCAGCCUAUAAUUUAUACAAAUUAAAAAUAUAGAUUUUUAUGAUUGACAUUAUCAACGGAAUUCAAAGCUUUUUAACUACAGAUUUUAUCAACUUUUAUAAAAAAAAUAUGCUAAAAAUAUAAUUUUAAUAUCUCUGAAGGGGGGGGGGGUGGCUUAAUAUGAUUCUUUAUGCAUAAUGUUGGUUGGAGUUGUUUACAAAAUAUCCAAAUCAUAAAUAGAUGUAAAUAAGCGGUGAAUAAGUGACAAUUUUAAAUAUCCCAAAUCUAUAUUUUUAAUUUGUAUAAAUUAUAGGCUGAAUAUUUA